GUCAGGUGCGGUGGUGCACACCUGUAAUCCCAGCGGCUCGGGAGGCUGAGGCAGGAGGAUCACGAGUGCAAAGCCAGCCUCAGCAAAAGCAAGGUGCUAAGCAACUCAGUGAGAUCCUGUCUCUA
rnacentral:sRNA from 1 species